rnacentral:rRNA from 1 species
UACGAAGGGGGCUAGCGUUGCUCGGAAUCACUGGGCGUAAAGCGCACGUAGGCGGCUUUUUAAGUCAGGGGUGAAAUCCCGGAGCUCAACUCCAGAACUGCCUUUGAUACUGGGAAGCUUGAGUCCGGGAGAGGUGAGUGGAACUCCGAGUGUAGAGGUGAAAUUCGUAGAUAUUCGGAAGAACACCAGUGGCGAAGGCGGCUCACUGGCCCGGUACUGACGCUGAGGUGCGAAAGCGUGGGGAGCAAACAGG